GUGAUCGGUAAAUAUUCCACAUUUGCAUCUAGCCACAUGGACUCUGUUCACGUGGUCUAAGGAGGGGCUUUGGCUGGUCGGAACCCAGCUCUGCUUUAUCCCUAUAAGAUCCAGAUGGGGGAAUGAGGGGGAAUUAUGCUUGAGUAGCAGUAGGCCUUCCUUGGGAAACUCCUCUCUGCUUCCCUCUGCUCCGGCCCGGCCACCUUCAGGCCAUCCAAUCCAAACAACGACACCCUCUGCGUCCCACCCCUUCUUCUGGAAUUGUUGCAGAAUUACAACUUCCUCAGAAAGGAAGCUUGACAAAACCGUGAUGGUGACCAGAGGCAGGAGGAUAUGACAAACCAGAAGGAAGACAGCCCAGAGGGGAGGGGCACCUGUGGGGAUGGAGAAGAACAGGCUCGCCCUCCCCCAAGCCCCAGAGAAUGCUUCAUUCGCUAAAUGAGAUCAAUCUGGCCCAGAUGUUGGGCAGCUGCCCCUAGAAGCAGUUCCCGUGCUGAGCAGCAGAGGCCAAGGCUGCUUAUGGAGCCGGCCUUGGAGGCUCUGGCCCCUCCUCUAGGGGCUAAACACAGCCUUCUGCUCCCAUCCCCAGUCGUCCUCCCCAGUCUUCCCAGGAGGUUGCCUUUUUAGGAAACCCGGAGGAUCCAGAAGAGAAGCAGACAGUGAGCGAGCGGCUAGCUAUGGUGGUUGAGGAGCUGUGUGGGGCAGAGACUGUGGCCCUAGUGACUGAAUCAAGUGGCUGAGGAGCAGCCUUGCCUGCAGCUCAGGACCUCUCGUUUCCAAUGUAAAGCCCCUCUUCCACGAGAUGUUCUAGCCCAAAGCAAGCACAGACUGGGAAAGGGUAGCAACUAGCCACAGCAAGAGAGAUGCCCAAGCAAACUGUCCAGAGCCGGAGCCGGAGCCGGAGCCGGAGCGGAGGUGCAGAACAGGCUCCAGGACUUUCCACCAAGCAUCCUUGGAAAAGAAGGCUUCACCUAGUCUAGCUCAGAUGGAGUUCUAGCUUCCACCACCCCAGAGGCUGCAACUGUUACAAGAUGGCAUCAGGCACUUGUAGCAGAGAUUUCCUCGCUUUGCUGUAACCACCUCUCCUGAUGGUUCACUAAUGUAUGUCUAAAGUACUUUGAUCUAUUACCUUUUUUGUCUGGUUAUGAUAAAACAUUCAUUAAAUGGUUGCCA